UUGCAUAUUGGGAAUUCUUGUUAUGCUUCUCGUUCCCUGGGGAACAAGAUUAUCUGUGGCUUGCUACAUGAAAUAAAGGAGUUCUGAGGGCCACUAGCCAUGUAGUGAAGGGUAAGUGAUAGUCUGUUUCUCAUACGGAA
ensembl:snoRNA